rfam:Triticum aestivum genome assembly, contig: Triticum_aestivum_CS42_TGACv1_scaffold_423805_5BS
GUCCACUACUCAGUUGAUAGAGUACAAAGUUCUUAACCUUGUGGACGUGGGUUCAAGCCCCAUGGAGGACA